rnacentral:rRNA from 1 species
UGCGCAGGCGGUGCUGUAAGACAGGCGUGAAAUCCCCGGGCUCAACCUGGGAAUUGCGUUUGAAACUACAAGGCUAGAGUGUGGCAGAGGGAGGUGGAAUUCCAUGUGUAGCAGUGAAAUGCGUAGAGAUAUGGAAGAACAUCGAUGGCGAAGGCAGCCUCCUGGGUUAACACUGACGCUCAUGCACGAAAGCGUGGGGAGCAAACA